rnacentral:autocatalytically_spliced_intron from 1 species
AGGAACCGUAUGCAUUAGUAGCGCACGUACGGAUCUGUGCGGGGGCAGCGGGAAACCGCUAUUCCUACCGAGAC